rnacentral:rRNA from 1 species
GACGAACGCUGGCGGCGUGCUUAACACAUGCAAGUCGAACGGAAAGGCCCUGCUUUUGUGGUGUGCUCGAGUGGCGAACGGGUGAGUAACACGUGAGUAAUCUGCCCUUGACUUUGGGAUAACUUCAGGAAACUGGGGCUAAUACCGGAUAGGAGCUCCUGCUGCAUGGUGGGGGUUGGAAAGUUUCGGCGGUGGGGGAUGGACUCGCGGCUUAUCAGCUUGUUGGUGGGGUAGUGGAUUACCAAGGCUUUGACGGGUCGCCGGCCUGAGAGGGUGACCGGCCACAUUGGGACUGAGAUACGGACCAGACUCCUACGGGAGGCAGCAGUGGGGAAUAUUGCACAAUGGGCGGAAGCCUGAUGCAGCAACGCCGCGUGCGGGAUGACGGCCUUCGGGUUGUAACCCGCUUUCGCCUGUGACGAAGCGUGGGUGACGGUAAUGGGUAAAGAAGCACCGGCUAACUACGUG